GAUCCUGGCUCAAGAUGAACGCUAGCUACAGGCUUAACACAUGCAAGUCAAGGGGCAGCAUGGUCUUAGCUUGCUAAGGCCGAUGGCGACCGGCGCACGGGUGAGUAACACGUAUCCAACCUGCCGUCUACUCUUGGACAGCCUUCUGAAAGGAAGAUUAAUACAAGAUGGCAUCAUGAGUUCGCAUGUUCACAUGAUUAAAGGUAUUCCGGUAGACG
rnacentral:rRNA from 1 species